CAACAAAAAAACACCCCUUAGACAAAGAAAUAAGAAGCAAUCCAGACCUCUCAUCUCAUAUCAUCCAACGAUCCUGAUUAGAGGAAACUUCAUCGCCUAAUUAAUUCGCUUAUUCUGAAAUUCUUUGGUUUACAAACGUUAGGGCUAGAAAUGUAAAAUUCAUUUGUUCGUAAUUUUGGAAUCUUAAACAAUUCCCGGAUUUAUCUCACUUACCUGGAAGAUGAUGGUCAAAAUCGAUUUCUACGAAUUUUUGACACAACCCUGUUCAUUUGCUAUUACUUUCCCCCCAUUUGUAUCAGCUUCCGAUCUUGUUCGACAGGUAUGAAGAUGGAUCGCCAGAAACAUAAAGAAAUUGGGUCGGCAUGUUCAGAGUUUUUGUCUUGCAUUCGAUCGUUCAGUCACACAUAGAUAAAUAAGGAGCUAAAGUUGCAAAGUAGCUCGCGCGCCUGCUGCCCAUCUCUUCGAUCCAGCCCCUAAGCUGCAUAGGUCUACUUCAUGCAUAAUGUUGUAUGAUUUCAUUAUUCAAGAGUUUAGGUUGGUUUUUCAUAGCUUUAUUAGUUUUAUGGUACUAAAAGUAUGAAACGAUGUUUCAUUAAAAUUUAGCUAUUAAACUCAAUUGGCUUGUUCAUUUUUUGUCAUUGUACUCUUCUGUUACUUUGCAAAACAGUUCUUGCUUCCCUGAAUAAUGUAGUACUAUUAAAUCUUAGAUUUCUAUUGUGUUAAACUGUUAUUGACUUUAAUAUGAACAUGUACCUAAGUUUGUUGAACUUGCAUUACUGUAUUGAUU